GUGUAGUUAACACCUGCACUAUUUGACGUUACCUACAGAAGAAGCACCGGCUAACUCCGUGCCAGCAGCCGCGGUAAUACGGAGGGUGCGAGCGUUAAUCGGAAUUACUGGGCGUAAAGCGCAUGCAGGCGGCCUCGUUAAGUCAGAUGUGAAAGCCCGGGGCUUAACCUCGGAAUUGCAUUUGAAACUGGCAGGCUAGAGUCUUGUAGAGGGGGGUAGGAAGUUUCAGGUGUAGCGGUGAAAUGCGUAGAGAUCUGAAGGAAUACCAGUGGCGAAGGCGGCCCCCUGGACAAAGACUGACGCUCAGAUGCGAAAGCGUGGGGAGCAAACAGGAUUAGAUACCCUGGUAG
rnacentral:rRNA from 1 species